AAUCCCAUGGAUGAGAGGAACUUGAAUAUAUCCUUGCAUGCAUCAUCAGAGCACCAUUUGGGUGAUCCACCAUUGAAGCCGAGAGCUUCAAGCUUCCAUUGCUCAAACCUAGGUGAGGUUAUUGCCCUACUUCAAUUGCUUGAGUUAUUCUUUGGGUUUUGAUGUGUUUCGAGUUGAAACCCUUGGGUUUAGUCUCUGCCAUUUGUCUGUGGGUGUAUCAUCAGCCUCGGCGACGAACUCCGGCGAGAGCCGUUGAGUUCGAAGCCUGCUGGG
rnacentral:lncRNA from 1 species